AAGUGGCGCAGUGGCAGCGUAUCGGUUUUGGGUAUCGGGGGCCGCCGGUUCGAAUCCGGCCUU
rnacentral:tRNA from 1 species